CACAAUAUGCCUGUACUGUAAACCUGCCAUUGACACUAGGCUUGAAGGCAUUAAGCAUGCAGGUGUUGGACAGGCUCAUGCCAUAAAGCAAAGGUGCUGACUGUUCACCUGACUCCGGCACACAGCAGCAGGUUCUGGCAAGAAACUAUGACCAGCAUCAGACAGCCUAGAAAGCUAAAGCAUCAGACACUAAUCGAGCUGACACGCCUCUCUAUCCUGCUGGCCACAGCCUGUUUAUUGAUCGUCCUCAGGGUGUGCACUAGUUGGUCCACCGAGGCUGCACGACUCAGAUGCCUCCACUUGGCCAGGCUGCGCUGCGCUGCACCACGAAGUCCCAUGUACCUUCUCUGUUAAGGUCAACAAUCACAUGAAACAAUUUCCUUCUUCCCACCUAUGAUGGUCAGCUGGCGGCCAGGUGUAUACCCCUCCCUGUACAGCCUCCUCAAAAUGUCUGGGCGGGUCUUCAGGGCAUGUAUCCUGCGCACG